rnacentral:sRNA from 1 species
UUAUUGCUCUACAGAUCAAAAUGCUGAAUACCAUCACAGCCAUGUUAGAUUGUAGAGAUAGACCUGUUCUUCAGGCCAUUUUUCUUAACAGCAAUUGCUUUGAACAUCUCAUACGACUGCUACAGAACUGCAAGGUAUUUUUCUAUUAUUGUUGUUGUCUUUGAUUUUAAGAAGCUAUUUUUUGUUUUUGUUUUGAUUCACAUUUGAACAUAUUUUUACUAAUUUUUAUACUUAAUCUCUGUUUGCAUUUAAUUACAUAACCAAGUUUUAUCUUGAAUUGAAACUAGUAUUAAAUCACUUGUAAUUGUCUAAAUACUUUAAAGGUAGUCAAACUGGAAUUUCUUUGUAUGGGAAGAAUUUCAGUUCAUGACGUGUAUUAUUUUCAUUCCAUCCAGAAAUAUCCUUGAGGCCCUUUAAGUAAUUAGUUGCUUCUGAGCUCUUCUAACUAUUUGUGUCUGAAUAUACUAAGAUGAGUCUUUGAAAAACAAUUGUUUCUCAUGGAAACACUGUCUUCUACCACAGUUUGUAGACUCCAAGUUACAUACCCUGUAAAUACAGGCCACUGAUUAUAGG